rnacentral:rRNA from 1 species
GACGAACGCUGGCGGCGUGCUUAACACAUGCAAGUCGAACGGAAAGGCCCUGCUUUUGUGGGGUGCUCGAGUGGCGAACGGGUGAGUAACACGUGAGUAACCUGCCCUUGACUUUGGGAUAACUUCAGGAAACUGGGGCUAAUACCGGAUAGGAGCUCCUGCUGCAUGGUGGGGGUUGGAAAGUUUCGGCGGUUGGGGAUGGACUCGCGGCUUAUCAGCUUGUUGGUGGGGUAGUGGCUUACCAAGGCUUUGACGGGUAGCCGGCCUGAGAGGGUGACCGGCCACAUUGGGACUGAGAUACGGCCCAGACUCCUACGGGAGGCAGCAGUGGGGAAUAUUGCACAAUGGGCGGAGGCCUGAUGCAGCAAGGCCGCGUGCGGGAUGACGGCCUUCGGGUUGUAAACCGCUUUCGCCUGUGACGAAGCGUGAGUGACGGUAAUGGGUAAAGAAGCACCGGCUAACUACGUG